CGGAGCUAGGCGCGGGGAGCGAGCGAGUCCGGAAUGAAUGAAUGAAAGGCUGUGUGGCCCGCGCGCCCGCGAACAAAGACAGCGAACCAAAGCGACGCUUCGAAUUUUUAAAGCGGAGUCUCUGCACCCACAUGCAGGACUGGUGACUUAACCUGGUAUGUAGGCAAGCUGGCCAGCCUGCGCUCGACCUGCCCCCACCCCCAGCUCAGGGGUCCUUUUGUCUGAACGCCGGAGCUACUCAGGGGGUGGGGGACCCGGCUGGGGAGUGGACGUGCAGGUCCCACCGUCCGCCCUGCUGGCCCAGGUUGGAAGGCUCAGAUAUCAGAGACAAAAGCGAUUUCCUCCUACUCCAGCGGGGCCAGAAGUUCAGGCUUCCCCGCCCUCACGGGGGAUCGCACCUGUGAGCUACCUGAGGUCCUGUGCUCUUGGAAUGAUUCUGUACCAACAUCAUAGGCUGUUUUGAUGUCACAUUUUGUCAUAUUUGUAUGGCAGUAAAGAAGUACAAAUUGUGUGCAAAAAGCCGAAGAUGAAGGCCUGAAAUGAUCCAAAAAAGUCAGGACACCACAAAACUUGAUCCCUUUUGAUUUCCUAGCUCUCGACCCAUCCAGCUAACCUCUCCUCUUUCCUCCUCUGCGGCCACGUGCAUAUCGGAUGCCCAUGCUUUGGCCUUGGCCUGACAGAGGCAUUUCUGUCUUCAGAUGUGUGUCUUAUCUUGAAAACAGCCUUCUCCUUCAGGGUCUCCUGGCUCAGUUGAAAUCUUUUUAAAAUGGAAUUUGCACAAGACAUUAGAGCCCUGUAUACAUGUGUUUUGCAUGAUUUCUGAACUUCAGAAUGGAGCAGCUCUGGCUGCUGAAAGGAAACUGCAAACUGAGGGUAUCUGAGAAACGGUCGUGUUGCUUCUUCCCCAAGAUGAGACGUGAAAAAUGAGAAUGAAAGCUGUGUGGUUUACCCACACCUAAGUUUUCAGAACAUGCAGUGGUGUUUCUCUGAACGAUCUGAACUUCUGUGCUGUGAUCUUCUCAUUGUGUUGACAGCAAAGCAUGAAUGAAAUAACCAAAGCAAGUCAUUGUUUAACUCAUCUAUAGCAUGGGUUUGGGAAGGCAAGCAUCCCUUGUGCAUUUUUUAAUGAAAAUUAUUCUCACAUAGUUAUGUUACGGACAGCUCUGUUUCUAUUCCCGUUAGUCUUGUGUCAUCGUGGUAAAGGGGCUUCCCAGGUGACUCAGUGGUAAGGAACCUGCCUGCCAAUGAAAGAGAUGCAAGAGACACAGGUUUGAUCCCUGGAUUGGGAAGAUCCCCUGGAGAAGAAAAUGGCAACCCACUUCAGUAAUUCUUGCUUGGAAAACCCCAUGGACAGAGGAGCCUGGUGGGCUAUAGACCCUAGGGGUCACAAAGAGCCAGACACAGCAGAGCAACUAAACAACAAUAAAUCAUGGUAAAAGGCACCGUCA
rnacentral:lncRNA from 1 species